GACCUCAAAUCAGGUAAGAAUACCCGCUGAACUUAAGCAUAUCAAUAAGCGGAGGAAAAGAAAAUAACAAUGAUUCCCUCAGUAACGGCGAGCGAAGAGGGAUAAGCUCAAAUUUUAAAUCUGCUGGGUUUCACCUAACAGAGUUGUAUUUUGAAGAAACGUUUUCUGCGUCCCGGGUUAGCCUAAGUCCUUUGGGAUAAGGUAUCAUGGAGGGUGAGAAUCCCGUUCAUGGUUAAUCUUAAGGAUGCUCUACGAUACGUUUUCCAAGAGUCGAGUUGUUUGGGAUUGCAGCUCAAAAUGGGAGGUAAAUUUCUCCUAAGGCUAAAUAUUGGCGAGAGACCGAUAGCGAACAAGUACCGUGAGGGAAAGAUGAAAAGAACUUUGAAAAGAGAGUUAAACAGUACGUGAAAUUGUUGAAAGGGAAACGAUUGAAGUCAGUCAUACCAACGGGAAAUCAACCUUUUGAGCUUUGUCUUGUGGGUUCGAAGAGUUUAAACGCCUUCGGGUUCGCGAGAUUGGGAUCUUCUGGUGUACUUUCUCGUACGGUUAGUCAACAUCGGUUUUGAAUGUCAUAAAAUGACUGGAGGAAUGUAGCUUCGAUCUCGUAUCGAAGUGUUAUAGCCUUUGGUAGAUGUGAUGUUUGAGACCGAGGAUUGCAACGGAUACCCUUUAAGGGCUAUUCGUCUGAUCUCUGAUACGUUGCCUUGACGUUGAAAGCUUGCUUAUGAUGUUAGGGUAUUACGGUCAAAAGGUUAGAACGGAUUAAAUUCGUUAAGGAUGUUGACGUAAUGACUUUAAACGACCCGUCUUGAAACACGGACCA
rnacentral:rRNA from 1 species